CAGGGAGAGAGAGAGAGACAGCGAGAGAGGGAACACAAGCACGCACCCACUGUCCCUGAACUUCCUUACUGGCUGUGUGACAGCUCCUCAUGCAGAAGGCCAGGCUGUAGCCAACUGGGAGUGGGAGCUUGGAGCCUGGCCUUGGAUCUUCGGGCAUCUGGUCAUGUCAUGUAAGUGAGGCACCUGCCAGUAGCUGCCAGGCUGGACACGUAUGGCAGGAUCACCCACCAGAGUGACACAAAGCCCUUUCUGCCCUCUCUGCUGGCCAAGGAACCUCGAGGCUGAAAUGAGGUCUCCCUACAUUGGUGCUGAUGAACCACUGUCUUUGGGCCUUGGUUGGGUAAGAAGUUAAUGUGUACAGACUACCUCCUGCUUCCAUCUCCUUAUCCUUUGUGUCUUCUAACUCAGUAAAGCUGAGGAAUGGAUAGAAAAGAACUUGCAAAUGCUUAGAUUUUUUCCUCAUCAGUCUCAGUUCCAGGGGAUGAGCAGAUCAGAGACAUACAGCUUUGCAGGAAUGACACCAAGUAAGCAAAACCCAACUCAACCGAACAGUUACCAACAUUCGAAAUACCAGAGCAUGAGAGUCUUUUUUUGCAGAUAUUAGCUAUGCUCUAUUUUCUGUUGUGAAGA